GACGAACGUUGGCGGCGUGCUUAAUACAUGCAAGUCAACUGAAGCAGUGGUAGCAAUAUCGCUGUGGAGGUGGCGCACGGGUGAGUAACACGUAGGUAAUCUGCCUUCAGGUCUGGCAUAACUCCGGGAAACCGGGGCUAAUAGCAGAUGAUGCAGCGGCUCGACAUCGAGACAGUUGUUAAAGCUACGGCGCCUGAAGAUGAGCCUGCGUCUGAUUAGCUAGUUGGCGGGGUAACGGCCCACCAAGGCAACGAUCAGUAGCUGGUCUGAGAGGAUGAUCAGCCACACUGGAACUGAGACACGGUCCAGACUCCUACGGGAGGCAGCAGUAAGGAAUAUUGCUCAAUGGGAGAAAUCCUGAAGCAGCAACGCCGCGUGAGGGACGAAGGGCUUUUGCUUGUAAACCUCUGUAGUGGGAGAAAAAAAUCCCAAUCUUUGGGACAUGAUGGUAUCUCAAAAGUAAGCCCCGGCUAACUACGUG
rnacentral:rRNA from 1 species